AGUACAGUGCACUGCACAGUGGAUAAGAAUGUAGACUCCAGAGCCAGAGAGAGUUGUGUUUGACUUGUAUCUACGGAGCUUGUGAUUUUUGUUUCCCUUUAGCCAGUUUAUCAACUAUCUUCUGGAUUUCUGGUUCUCAAUCCUGACAAUAAAUGAAAUCAUAUUCUGAAAGAACGUCAUCAUUCGUUGAAAUAUUUUCAUUUCUGGUAAAUACAUUGUCUUGACUUAAAAAGUGUUUUUUUUGGUAGCGGAUGACUCCUAGAAUAGUACCUGGCAUGUGUUAGGUGCUCAAUAACUAUUUACUGAUGGAAUGAACACAGGCUCUAGUGUAAACAGAUGAGACUUCAUAAUGUCACUUACCACAUGGCACUCAGGAGAUAUUUAGCCUACCUAAGCCUCGAUUAUCAUCAACUAUAAAAUUGAGAUAAUAAUAGUAUCUACCAUUUACCGUUGUUCUAAGAAUUAAAUGACAUAGUGCAUGCAAAGGACUUAGCAUAGAGCCUAUCACCUAGCAAGUGCUAAAACAUUAGCUAUUAUUUUUAACAUUAAUUAUUUUUCAACCCUAGAAUGGUACAUUUUUAACAGGUAGUACAUUUUAACAGCAAAAUUUUAGCAGAAUGUAUUUAUCCCCCACUUUGCAUUUUUUCCUAAAAACUGUAUCAUGGGAUAAUUUAUUUUGCUGUGGAGAAAGACUAAACUAUCUAUGCCUCCCUCCACCUGAGGUCAUUUCUGAAGCUGUUGGCAUUGGGCCAGGGGUUGAGUGGCAGAAUAAUCUCCUUAUCAAUUUUGUUAUGUUUGAUGUUGUACAAAAUAAAUAGCUCAAUAAAAACUCCAGUUUAGAUGUUACCAUGGUUGGGAAGAAAAUGGCAGUGGCUACCUAUUAAGAACCACAAUCACAAAUGCAGUCCUUCUGUAUUUUAUAUCCUUGGUUAGGUGGGUUUCUUGUUCUUUUCCUUGUUUGCUCCAUCUGGGGAUGCCUGGGCACCCGUACAAAACUCACUAGUGCCUAAACACAGACACAUUAGUUGGGGCUGCCCCUGCUUCAGAUACCAGGGAGAGAUUUGUUGGCAUAAUGCACCAGGGUCUUAUGCCAGCUCCUGAUUCUUUGCUGAUGCUGAGAUGAGGAACAUGGCUGGGAGGGGGCUAGGAUGGAAUGAAAUCUGUGGCAGCCAAAGCCUCCAUUUGUCUUUCUGCCGAGUGUGCUGAGCUGUAGACACUGCAGUGUUUUCAAAAAUAAUAAUAAAAAAAUUUGCUCAUUAGUUUUUAAGUCCUGCUGACUUUGUGAAAUCAAUAUAGCACAUUGUAAUUGAUUUAUGAAAUCAAAAAACCCCUGCUUGACCAGGAAGUUCGGCAGUCGCUGCUCUCAGCAACCUGCCCUUCUGCUCAUUAGUGCAUUUCCUUUAGUGCUGCCUGAGCCGAGGGCGCCUUCAGAGCUGGAAGGCUCAAGCCCUCUGCAGACAGUCUGCUUAAGAUGUAGCUUGCAUUGUGUCCCUGGGGUCUUAUGCUUCUCCCCUUCUUCCUACCAGGUCAGCUGAAGGACUUCAGCUUCUCUCUUAGGGUCCCUAAUGUUCUCAUAAUAUCUUACUGGAAAGGCAAGACUCCAUUCAUACCUGUAUUUUGACAUUUUAAUCUAUUUGCUACUUUUCUUUUCUCUCACCUUUUAUUCUUCCUUGUCUUAUUACUUAGCUUAUCUUUUGCCAUCUGACCUUAUCUAUUCAUUGAUCUCUUUUAUUCUAUUUUAUAUAACCUCACAAGGUUAACAAUUUUUUUCUAUUUCAAUUGUCUUUGUCUAAUUUCAGUACCUACUGUUUUAUUCUUAAGAUAAUAUUUUAUACCUCUUCCUGCCAAAGCCUGCUAUAAUUAUGUUUGUAUGCCACCUUUCAAAAAUUGAAGUAACUGCUAUACACCAAACAUUGUCCUGGGUGCUUUACAUCAAAUUAUCUUCUCAAGAAGUGUGUAAGGAAUGCAUUAUCCUUGGUUAGAGGUGAAAAAACUGAGAUUUAGAGAAGUUAGUAACUUGCCUGAGUCACCCCACUACUGAGGGGCAAGGCUGGUAUUUGAAACUAAUUCUGUUUGACUCCAAAGCCUGUGUUUCUUUUUUCCAGUACAAAAUGAUUAUUCCAAUUGGCCUCUGUUUUACAUUAAAUGCUUAACUAGCAAAAUCUAGCUCUUGGCUGCCCUUAAAGGGGCUCAUUCUCUUUAGUGCCAUUCUUCCAAAUAACUCUGCUGUUCAAACUGCCAGAAUGCAAAUGUAUUUAUUUUAAGAUCUUGGUCUAUGCUAGCAUAUUGGAUGGCUUAUCCUUUUUCGUGGAAUUCUCAUCUAUCUAAUGUUAUGUGUAUGGAGCCCCUUGCCUCAUCAUUAAAGGUGAGGGAAGUGUUCUCAUAUUGUCAAAAGUCACCAAGAGCAAUCUCAUAACCUAGAAAAAUCGACAGACAGCUGAGCCAAAUAGGCAGCCUUUGGGAGCUUCCUGUGGAUUUCAUUUUCUCUUUGUUCUUUUGAUGCAACUUUGGGAGCAAGUAAGUGGGAAAAUUAUAGAACACUGCAGCAGCAGGAAGAUGAUGCAAUGUGCUCGAUGUCCUCACUUCUUAAGUCGUUGAAGGAACCUGUAGUUUCUCCAUACAGGUACUGUAUGUUUCAGAAUUGCGGGCUUGCAAGAAUCUCAUUAACUGUAGGGCCAUCUGCCACGUUGCUACUCAUUUGGCUCAUUUAAUCACAGGUUGCUAUCUGGCUUAUGAGUUGGCUAUUCUAGGAAAAGGUGAUCACCCUAAGUUUCCAGCAGAAGUGAUGGUUAAGGGUAGUGAUAAAGUUGGUAGAGUCAUAUUGUAUAAGACUUGGCAGAUGCUUUAAGCGAGGCCAUGAAGGACAAAGAAUUCAACUUGAUACAAAGAUUAUUUACCAUCUGGCUUAAAUCUACCCUUUUGUCAUUACUUGCACUUACUAACCAAGAUGCUAUGCAUACCUGCAAUACAGCCACACUAUGGAAAUCCUCUCAAAAUAAGGAUUUCAGGAAGCAACUGAAAGGAUAUCAACCCUUUCAAUACAGUUGUCAGCACAUAUUUUUCAAAGAGAGGAGAAAAAGAAGUAUUUAUUUGUAGAUUAUGGAUUGUCUACCUGAAAUAUCUAAGAGGCUCAAGUGAAAAGUUAUUAGUACCAGAAAAAGAGUAUAACAACUAGGAAAAUUACAAACAGACAUUUUAAGCAUGAGACCUAUCAGGAUUCAGGAUGGGUAAUCUCAUUCAUUCAUUCAAUAAACUUUUGCUGAGAACUCAAUAAAAGUAGGGGUGAUGUUCUUGGAUACUAAGAUUAAUACACCACAGCUUCUGUCAGAAUGGAGCUUCAGAUGCAGUAGCAGAGAAUUCACUUAAAGCAAGGAUUGCUCCUCAAUGAUAACUUUUAAAAUCUUCUCAAUGAAGAAACAAGCUUGAGUCAGAUAUUUUGUAACAUUUUGACAUAUUUAAGAGAAAGGAAGAGAGAGGGAAGCUUGUAAAAUAAAGGCUUAUAUAAGAAGACAUAAGAACAAGCAACUUAAAGAAACAGAAAAUCAGGGUUCUGGAUAGACUUUAGAGUGAUAAAGUGGAUAGAAUAUGGUUUCCGGUAUUGUUCCCUGUCAUGAGUUCUGUUCAAACUCCUUUACCUGUAAAACUCUGCUCAAGUUAUUAACCAUCUCUGCAACUCAGCUUUCUUUUUUUUAAUUAUAAAAAUUAACGUGUAUAAAUUACUUCUGAAGUUGUUUUGAGAACAUGUGACACCAUCUAAUAAAUUCAUGGAUAAACACCUAA
rnacentral:lncRNA from 10 species